rnacentral:rRNA from 1 species
UCAAGUGAAGAAGCGCAUACGGUGGAUGCCUUGGCAGUCAGAGGCGAUGAAAGACGUGGUAGCCUGCGAAAAGCUUCGGGGAGUCGGCAAACAGACUUUGAUCCGGAGAUCUCUGAAUGGGGGAACCCACCUAGGAUAACCUAGGUAUCUUGUACUGAAUCCAUAGGUGCAAGAGGCGAACCAGGGGAACUGAAACAUCUAAGUACCCUGAGGAAAAGAAAUCAACCGAGAUUCCCUUAGUAGUGGCGAGCGAACGGGGAUUAGCCCUUAAGCUUCAUUGAUUUUAGCGGAACGCUCUGGAAAGUGCGGCCAUAGUGGGUGAUAGCCCCGUACGCGAAAGGAUCUUUGAAGUGAAAUCGAGUAGGACGGAGCACGAGAAACUUUGUCUGAACAUGGGGGGACCAUCCUCCAAGGCUAAAUACUACUGACUGACCGAUAGUGAACCAGUACCGUGAGGGAAAGGCGAAAAGAACCCCGGAGAGGGGAGUGAAAUAGAACCUGAAACCGUAUGCGUACAAGCAGUGGGAGCCUACUUGUUAGGUGACUGCGUACCUUUUGUAUAAUGGGUCAGCGACUUAUAUUCAGUGGCAAGCUUAACCGUAUAGGGUAGGCGUAGCGAAAGCGAGUCUUAAUAGGGCGUUUAGUCGCUGGGUAUAGACCCGAAACCGGGCGAUCUAUCCAUGAGCAGGUUGAAGGUUAGGUAACACUGACUGGAGGACCGAACCCACUCCCGUUGAAAAGGUAGGGGAUGACUUGUGGAUCGGAGUGAAAGGCUAAUCAAGCUCGGAGAUAGCUGGUUCUCCUCGAAAGCUAUUUAGGUAGCGCCUCAUGUAUCACUCUGGGGGGUAGAGCACUGUUUCGGCUAGGGGGUCAUCCCGACUUACCAAACCGAUGCAAACUCCGAAUACCCAGAAGUGCCGAGCAUGGGAGACACACGGCGGGUGCUAACGUCCGUCGUGAAAAGGGAAACAACCCAGACCGCCAGCUAAGGUCCCAAAGUUGUGGUUAAGUGGUAAACGAUGUGGGAAGGCUUAGACAGCUAGGAGGUUGGCUUAGAAGCAGCCACCCUUUAAAGAAAGCGUAAUAGCUCACUAGUCGAGUCGGCCUGCGCGGAAGAUGUAACGGGGCUCAAACCACACACCGAAGCUGCGGGUGUCACGCAAGUGACGCGGUAGAGGAGCGUUCUGUAAGCCUGUGAAGGUGAGUUGAGAAGCUUGCUGGAGGUAUCAGAAGUGCGAAUGCUGACAUGAGUAACGACAAUGGGUGUGAAAAACACCCACGCCGAAAGACCAAGGGUUCCUGCGCAACGUUAAUCGACGCAGGGUUAGUCGGUUCCUAAGGCGAGGCUGAAAAGCGUAGUCGAUGGGAAACAGGUUAAUAUUCCUGUACUUCUGGUUACUGCGAUGGAGGGACGGAGAAGGCUAGGCCAGCUUGGCGUUGGUUGUCCAAGUUUAAGGUGGUAGGCUGAAAUCUUAGGUAAAUCCGGGGUUUCAAGGCCGAGAGCUGAUGACGAGUCGUCUUUUAGAUGACGAAGUGGUUGAUGCCAUGCUUCCAAGAAAAGCUUCUAAGCUUCAGGUAACCAGGAACCGUACCCCAAACCGACACAGGUGGUCGGGUAGAGAAUACCAAGGCGCUUGAGAGAACUCGGGUGAAGGAACUAGGCAAAAUGGCACCGUAACUUCGGGAGAAGGUGCGCCGGCUAGGGUGAAGGAUUUACUCCGUAAGCUCUGGCUGGUCGAAGAUACCAGGCCGCUGCGACUGUUUAUUAAAAACACAGCACUCUGCAAACACGAAAGUGGACGUAUAGGGUGUGACGCCUGCCCGGUGCCGGAAGGUUAAUUGAUGGGGUUAGCGCAAGCGAAGCUCUUGAUCGAAGCCCCGGUAAACGGCGGCCGUAACUAUAACGGUCCUAAGGUAGCGAAAUUCCUUGUCGGGUAAGUUCCGACCUGCACGAAUGGCG